GAGGGAGAGGGGAUUCACUAACUAGAUAGUAGACAAGCAUUAUCUUAGGUGCAGGGAAGGACAACACAAUACAGGGGAAGUCAGCACAACUGGAUUAAACCAAAAGCUAAGAAGUUUCCUGAACACAACCAAACACUUCGAAGGCCGUAGUAGCAGGGGCAGGGGUCUGGGGACCAUGGUUUCAGAUGACAUUUAGGUAAAUUGGCAUAAAAAAGUUUAUUAAGAAAAUGUUCUGCAUCCCACUUUGGUGAAUGACGUCUGGGGUCUUAAAAACUUUCGAGUGGCCAUCUAAGAUGCAUCAAUUGGUCCCAACCUAUCUGGAGCAAAGGAGAAUGAAGAACACGAAAGGCACAAGGAAAAUACUAGUCCAAGAACAAAAGGGCCACGUAAACCAGAGACUCCCUCAGCCUGAGACCAGAAUAAUAGAUGGUGCCUGGCUACCAGCAAUGACUGCUCUGACAGGGAAUGCGACAGAGAGUCCCUGAUGGAACAGGAGAAAAGUGUGGUGCAGAACUCAAACUCACGUAGAAAGACCAGACUUAAUGGUCUGACUGAGACUAGAGGAACCCCAGAAGACAUGGCCCCUGACUCUCUGUUAACCCAGAACUAAAACUGUUCCCAAAGCCAACUCUUCAGACAAAGAUUAGACUGGACUAUAAAACAUAAAAUAAUACUUGUAAAGAGUGUACUUCUUAUUCUUAGUUCAAGUAGAUAUACAAGAGACCAAAUGGGCAGCUCCUGUCCAGAGGUGGGAUGAGAAUGCAGAAAGGGAUAGGAGCUAGUUGAAUGGACACAUAAAACACCCGUGGAAAGGGGGAGUGUGCUGUCACAUUAUGGGGGUUGCAACUAGGGUCAUAUAACAAUAUGUAUAUAAAGUUUAGUAUGAGAAUUUGAGCUGUAAACUUUCACCUAAAGCACAAUUAAAAAAAAAAUAAAAAAAGCCAAAAAGAUUCCUUGGAAGGAAAAAUGCAAGAAAACAAGUAAAUGCUUUAGGAAACCAUUUUCAAACUGCAUCCUGCCAUCUAAGAGGUUAUCUAAAAUAGCGAUUUUUAUUUAUAGGUGACUUGAAGAUCUGUUGAAUCUUCAUUUUUCUGAAUAAAUAAGAAAGAUGCAACUCUGUGUCCAUCUCAUUAAGCUGCCAUACCUGUGUUCGGCAAUUGGAGCUCAUUUUCCUAGUAACAUAGGAACCCAGUGCCUGUCCUGGGCUUGAAGGAGCACAAAGGAAGUAUUCACAGGAAACUGGCUGGACGAUGGGGAGGUCCUGGUUGAGUGUAACUCUUCGGAAAGGCCCCCGGCUGGACACAAAAGGCAAAGAAGAAAAUCUACAAACAGUGCUUAGGACAGUUCUCUGUCACAACAGAGGGGCCAGGCUAGUGAAUCCACACUGGUAACUGAAGUGUUCACAAUGUUAAAAGACAUGCCAGGAAACUGUUUACAAACCCUUGCUAGUAGGGGGCAUAAUAACAAACAGCCUUGGAGCGAAUGCUGUUGUUUGUGACUUCAGUUCCCAGUGAAGUUCAUCAGCAAUUUUUUUUUUUAAUACCCUCUUCUCACAUAAGUGUUCCUGUGUCAACUUAUUUAAGUGGAACAAGACCACAUGCUGAUACGAGUAAGAGAGGAGAGAGCACGUGGAACAGCAAGGGGUGAGCAGAGGCAUUUCACAGUUUCUCCAAGAUUCAGGUAAAACAUCUCAUUUUAAAAAUAAGAAGAAAAAAGGUUCUAGCGAUACGAUUGACAGUUUUCAUAGAUAAAAUUAUUUGACAGUUAAAAUUUUUCUCCCUCAACUUCAGUCCAUUCUUCUUUUUUUCUUUUAAGCACUAUCUCUCUCAAAUUCAAACAAAAACAAAGCCUGUCACUUUAGCUGACAAGAUCAGUACUGCCCGUGGUCAGUAGGAUUGUGCAGGCUGAGGGUCUCUUUAGGAAGUGCCGAUUCAAGGUCCCUGAUCAAGCAGGCGGCAGUAUCUGCCCCAGGCAGAGUAGGGAACUGGUACUCUAGGAGGUGAGUAGAGGGGCCAUAAACUGUAAAAACGGCCCCUUCCCACAGCCCUUCUCUAUACCAGAAGAAACAUGAAGACAAAGUCAAUCACAUUUGCUAUACUUAUGAACAGAAAAUGGAGCCUACAUCUUGUUUGGCUUGGGGGUUGUUGCUAACUGUGGCUCUACGUGAGCUUCUAAUAUUGCUUGGCCCCCUAAACAUGUUUUUAAAUAGCUUUUUUUUUUUCCUGAUUAUACAGGUAGUAUGUGUUGUUUGGAAACCCUGGUGGUGUAGUGAUUAAGAGCUACGUCUACUAACCAAAAGGUUGGCAGUCUGAAUCCACCAGGCGCUCCUUCGAAACUCUUUGGGGCAGUUCUGCUGUGUCCUAUAGGGUCGCUAUGAGUCGGAAUUGACUCAGCAGCAACGGGUUUAUGUGUUGUCUGCAGUGGAUUUAGAAAAUAGAAGCCUGAAGAAAAUAAAAAUUACUCUUCAGUUCCAAUAUCCACAGAAAACUAGUGAUAACAUUUUGUUAUAUUUCCUUUAAGUCUUUAUAUACAUUUGUGUGUGUAGGUAUGUGUGAGUAUAUGUGAGUUUGUGUGUGUGUGUUCUUAACUAUUGAAACCAUACUACAUAUAUAAAUUUUAUAUCUUGAGUUUUCUAACUUGUCACUUUAAUAAAAUUAAUCACUACAAAGAUUUUUAAAAAAUUCAGUCUCCCCACCAUCCAUUCAUCCAAUAAUGAUUAAAAGCUUACCAUGUUGGAUGGAAAAAUUGGGAAAAAGAUAAGGGUGAUGGUUGAACAACAUGGUACACACAGUGUCACUGAACUGUCCAUGCAAAGAUUGUUGAAAUGACAAACGUUUUGGUACAUACAUAUUUACUACAAUUAAAAAAAAAAUUUAAACUCUACUAUGUGGUGAAAGGAAACCCUGGUGGCAUAGUGGUUAAAAGCUAUGGCUGCUAACCAAAAGGUCGAUAGUUCAAGUCCACAGGCACUCCUUGGAAACCCUGUGGAGCAGUUCUAUACUGUCCUAUAGGGUCGGUAUAAGUAGGAAUCAACUUGAUGGCAACAGGUUUGGUUUGGAUGUGGUGAAAAAACCCAACUAUAUCUAUUGUUUUUCAUUAGGUGUUAUGGAGGAAACAGAUUAUAAGAGAUUGAUACAUGGGUCCAUUCAGCCAAUAUACAUUGGUCACUUAUUUUGUGCCGGACACUGUCUUGGCAUGGGGGUGCCUGGUUCUUGCUCUCAUGGAGCAUACAUUCUGGUGUGGGAAACAGACCUGAGGCAAGUAAAUGAAUCAAUAGAAAAAUUUCAGAUGUGAAAAGGUAUAUUAAGAAGUCAAAACAGAGCUACAUGACAGAGAAAUAUGCAUUGGGGGGAAGUGGCAUAAUGUUAGACAGGGUGGCUAGGAGGUUCCUCUGGAGAGGAGCUGAGCUGAGACAGAAAUCUCUAGAAGGAGGCACCGAGGGAAGAUCAGGUGAGCAGAAGAAUGUCAUUCCAGCAGAGGGCACUGCAAGUGCCAAGCACAGCUGAGGCAGGAAUGGGUUUUGGUGCUGGAGAGACAGAAAGAAGGAUAGGGUAACUGAAGUACAGUGAGUAGGGAGAAAGCGAAGGGCCAAGAUCAGGCUUAUAGGCCACAAGAGAAGUUGUAUUUAAUUCAAAGUGCAAUGGGAGGCCGAGAAGAGAGGUGAUCAGAUUCAUUGCUUAAAAUUAUCAUUUAGGCUACUGCGGAGAAAAUGGAUUAUAGAUGGCAAGGAGGAGUCGACAGAUGAGAGGGUAACCUAUUGCAGAAAUCCAGGUGAGAAAUGGUAGUGGGGCUGGUGGGGAUAAAAGUGGGCAGGUUAGGGACAUGCUCAGGAGGUAGAACUGGUAGGCUAGUGUUAUGGAUUGAAUUAUGUCCCCUCAAGAUGUGUAUCAAUUUGGCUAGGCCAUGAUUCCCAGUAUUGUGUGAUUGUCCACCAUUUUGUCAUCUGAUGUGAUUUUCCCAAGUAUUGUAAAUCCUACCUCUAGGGUUGGUAUGAGUACCAGGUAUAUAUAUUUUUUCUUUACAUGGAGAGUGUAUUCCUGUAUAAAAACCAGUAAAGUGUAAUGCAGCCUCUAUUUCUAGGGCCUGUUACUCUAGAGGUGGAAACAAGUUAUGAACACAGCCCAAAUAAUUAUAAAGCAGUUGUAUAUCUAGAAGCAAAAGACUGAAAACAAUCCAGUGUCCAUCACUCCAAACCAAAAAGAAACUCACUGCCCUCGAGUCAAUUCCAACUCAUUGCGACCCUACAGGACAGAGUAGAACCGCUCCAUAGGGUUUCCAGGUCUAUAAUCCUUAUGAAAGCAAACUGCUACAUCUUUCUUCUGUGGAGCUGCUGGAAGGUUUCAAUCACUGACCUUUUGGUUAGCCACCGAGCACUUAAUCACUGUGCCACCAGGACUCCCUAGAGAUAAAUAAAGCAAGGUGCAAAACGUUUUUAUCAUUCGUGUAGUAUAUAUGCUUAUAUAUGCAUAGGCUAUUUCAGGAAGCAUGCACAAGAAAUGAAUGACAAUGUUUGCUCCUAAGGAGGAGAAUGGUGGGCUUGAAGGCAGGGAUGCUAAAGGGAAAGAGAGGCAGAGCCAUAUUUUUCACUGCAAUACCUUUUGUAUCUUUCAAAUUUUUAUCACACAUGUAUUACCUUUGUUGUUGUUAGGUGCGGUCGAGUCAGUUCUGACUCAUAGCGACCCUAUGCACAACAGAAUGAAACACUGCCUGGUCCUAUGCCAUCCUUACAGUCGUUGUUAUGCUUGAGCUCAUUGUUGCAGCCACUGUGUCAGUCCACCUCGUUGAAGGUCUUCCUCUCUUCCACUGACCCUGUACUCUGCCAAGUAUGAUAUCUUUCUCCGGGGACUGAUCCCUCCUGACAACAUGUCCAAAGUAUGUAAAACGCAGUCUCGUCAUCCUUGCCUCUAAGGAGCAUUCUGGCCACACUUCUUCCAAGACAGAUUUGUUCAUUCUUUUGGCAUAUUCAAUAUUCUUUGCCAACACCACAAUUCAAAGGCGUCAACUCUUAUUCGCUCUUCCUUAUUCAUUGUCCAGCUUUCACAUGCAUAUGAUGUGAUUGAAAAUACCAUGGCUUGGGUCAGGCGCACCUUAGUCUUCAGGGUGACAUCUUUGCUCUUCAACACUUUGAAGAGGUCCUUUGCAGCAGAUUUGCGCAGUGCAAUGCGUCUUUUGAUUUCUUGACUGCUGCUUCCAUGGCUGUUGAUGGUGGAUCCAAGUAAAAUGAAAUCCUUGACAACUUCAAUCUUUUCUCUGUUUAUCAUGAUGUUGCUCAUUGGUCCAGUUGCGAGGAUUUUUGUUUUCUUUAUGUUGAGGUGUAAUCCAUACUGAAGGCUGUGGUCUUUCUUUGAUCUUCAUUAGUAAGUGCUUCAAGUCCUCUUCACUUUCAGCAAGCAAGGUUGUGUCAUUUGCAUAAUGCAGGUUGUUAAUAAGUCUUCCUCCAAUCCUGAUGCCCUGUUCUUCAUAUAGUCCAGUUUCUCAGAUUAUUUUUUCAGCAUACAGAUUGAAUAGGUAUGGUGAAAGAACACAACCCUGACGCACACGUUUCCUGACUUUAAACCAAUCAGUAUCCCCUUGUUCUGUCCGAACAACUGCCUCUUGAUCUAUGUAAAGGUUCCUCAUGAGCACAAUUAAGUGUUCUGGAAUUCCCAUUCUUUGCAGUGUUAUCCAUAGUUUGUUAUGAUCCACACAGUCAAAUACCUUUGCAUAAUCAAUAAAACACAGGUAAACAUCCUCCACAAUGUUAUCCAUAAUUUGUUAUGAUCCACACAGUUGAAUGUCUUUGCAUAGUCAAUGAAACACAGGUAAACAUCUUUCUGGUAUUCUCUGCUUUCAGCCAAGAUCCAUCUGACAUCAGCAACGAUAUCCCUGGCUCCACGUCCUCUUCUGAAACUGGCCUGAAUUUCUGGCAGUUCCCUGUCGAUAUACUGCUGGAGCCGCUUUUGAAUGAUCUUCAGCAGAAUUUUGCUUGCGUGUGAUAUUAAUGAUAUUGUUCUAUAAUUUCCACAUUUGGUUGGAUCACCUUUCUUGGGAAUAGGCAUAAUUAUGGAUCUCUUCCAGUCAGUUGGCCAGGAAGCUGUCUUCCAUAUUUCUUGGCAGAGAAGAGUGAGCACCUCCAGCGCUGGCUGCAUCUGUUCAUUGAAAUAUCUCAGUUGAUAUUCUAUCAAUUCCUGGAGCCUUGUUUUUCUCCAAUGCCUUCAGAGCAGCUUGGACUUCUUCCUUCAGUACCAUCGGUUCCUGAUCAUAUGCCAUCCCUUGAAAUGGUUGAAUAUCGACUAAUUCUUUUUGGUAUAAUGACUCUGUGUAUUCCUUCCAUCUUCUUUUGAUGCUUCCUGCAUCAUUUAAUAUUUUCCCCAUAGAAUCCUUCACUGUUGCAACUUGAGGCUUGAAUUUUUUCCUCAGUUCUUUCAGCUUGAGAAACGCCGAGUGUGUUCUUCCCUUUUGGUUUUCCCUCUCUAGCUCUUUGCACAUGUCAUUAUAAUACUUUACUUUGUCUUCUCGAGAGGCCCUUUGAAAUCUUCUGUUCAGUUCUUUUACUUCAUCAAUUCUUCCUUUUGCUUUAGCUGCUCGAUGCUCAAGAACAAGUUUCAGAGUCUCCUCUGACAUCCAUCUUGGUCUUUUCUUUCUUUCCUGUCUUUUCAGUGACCUUGCUUUCUUCAGGGAUAAUGUCCUUGAUGUCAUUCCACAACUCUUCUGCGGUCACUAGUGUUCAAUGCGUCAAAUCUAUUCUUCAGAUGGUCUCUAAAUUCAGGUGGGAUAUACUCAAGGUCAUAUUUUGGCUCUCAUGGACUUGCUCUGAUUUUCUUCAGUUUCAGUUUGAACUUGCAUAUGAGCAAUUGACGGCCUGUUCCACAGUCAGCCCCUGGCCUUGUUCUGACUGAAGAUAUUAAGCUUUUCCAUCGCCUCUUUCCACAGAGGUAGUCAAUUUGAUUUCUGUGUGUUCCAUCUGGUGAGGUCCAUGUGUAUAGUCACCGUUUAUGUUGGUGAAAGAAGGUACUUGCAAUGAAGAAGUCGUUGGUCUUGCAAAAUUCUGUCAUUUGAUCUCCGGCAUUGUUUCUAUCACCAAGGCCAUAUUUUCCAGCUACUGGUCCUUCUUUGUUUCCAACUUUCGCAUUCCAAUCACCAGAAUUUAUCAAUGCAUCUUGUCUGCACGUUCGAUCAAUUUCAGACCUCGUCAAAUAAAAAAAUUAAAAGGCAAAACAACACAGUUAUAAUAAAGACUCAAUGAAUUCUGAGCAUGGGGAGAUCUGAGAAAGGGGACUCCAGUGUAGGUAUGUGUCUUCAGCAAGGUUUUCAUAAACAGUAUGUCAGUCAAAACACUCCUCAACCCUCAAUUAUAUGAAUCUCUCUCAUUUGGAGGAAGGAAAAAACGUUUUCUAGGUGUGGCUUGCAAAGUUUCCCUCUACCUUUUUUUUUUUUUUUUCAAUUAACCCAAGACCAGACCAGUGAGUUUCUUAGUGUCCCCCGCCUUCCUUUCUCCCUCCUCGUCCUUUCUCUCUCUCUCUCUCUUCUCUGAGCCCAAAGACUCCUGACUUAGAACUACCAAUGCUUUCCUAAGUACACAGGAAUCUAAGUAUAGCGCUAUUCUUUGAAAACAAAUUUUGGCCCAAAAUAGGUCUGAUUUUGAUUACUGAAGAAGGUGCCAGGGGAGAGAUGGCAUCCUCUCACUUACUCAAAAGUUCUCUUCAGUGUCCCCCCGUCACAUAAAGAAUAAAGUGCAAACCCAUUUCAUGGCCUUCGAGGCUCUUCACAGUGACUCUCGUCUCUUGAUCCUUAACACCAUCCUGUCUCCAGUCUUGCUCCCUUGUUUUCUCAAACACAGCUUCAUGCUCAUCUUCUUUCUUUCAUUUAUCAAAAUUCUGUUCCUCUCUAAUCCCAGUUCACAGGCCAGGUCUGCCCUGGUUUAUCCCUCAUCCUUCCUCUCUGAGGAGUGGGCAACCUGAAGAAUUUUUAGUUAGUUCGUGUGUGUAAGUAUUUCUCUACUAAAUUUUAAGCUCUUUGAACUCAGAGACCAGAUCCAGGAAGCCAUUUAAAAAGAACAUCGUGUCUGAAUUCUUUGUUCAUAGACAUCAAAGUGAGAUUUCUAGUUGAUCUAAUUGCUUCUUGACAUUGUAGAUGAAGCAAAAAACGUCCUGAGGGUCUUCAGAAACAACUGACUUCUAACUCAAAACUUACUGCUUCCAGCAUCCCUCUGUUGGGGACUUGUAUGAAAUCUUUGGGGGCUUCUUAAGCUUUCAUAUAUGGUGCAUGCCUUGGAUGGCCUCAAGAGUGAAACCAUAAAAUAUUACAUAAAACCAGUAGUUUUACAAAAAAUUACCAGAUUGAGGACUUUCUUUUAAAGCAAAAAACAAAACCCAGAAAGACAUAUAGGGAAACUUUUAUUUUGACUGCACGAAAUUUAGAAACAUUUCAACAGCAAAGAAUAUGUAAACAACAUAAAAAAAAAAUCACAAAACAAGAAAAAAAAUGGUUGUCAAAUGUCCAACCUCCUUAACUAUAAAUUUAGGACUAAACUAAUAAAAAAUAAUACAAAUUUUAGCUGGGGAGUCUUGUUGUUUUUAAGUAUUUUGUUUAUGUUCUUACUUCAGUUUAAAACCCAUCAAAAUUUCUUGGGGUAAAUAUUAAGUUACUUUUACAGAAUUAUAAUAAAAGGUCAGAGCACAUAGAAAUGGUGUUGUAUUUCAGAAGUCACAGCCAGGUCAUGUCAAACUUCAAUGAUGACUGUGGGCCUUUCAUUUCAGUCAAAAUACAGUACUUAAGUGAUCUAAUUCUAGGUUCGAACGGCCAAACUUUUGGUCAACAGCCGAGGGCUUUAACCACUUUGCCACCAGGGCUUCUAGCACAUACCUGUUAUACCCGUUGCCAUCGAGUUGAUUCUAACUCAUAGCGACCCUAUAGGACAGAGUAGAACUGCCCCAUAGAGUUUCCAAGGAGUGCCUGGUGAAUUCGAACUGCCAAAUUUUUGGCUAACAGCCGUAGCACGUAACCACUAAGCCACCAGGGUUUCCUUCUAGCACAUACUACCUUCUAAAAUACUAUCUUCUGAAUUAUUGUGUUGUUAUCUGUCUGCCCUCAUUAGGAGGGAAGCUCUGUGAGGCCAGGACUUUUGGUCUGUCCUGGGUAUUGCUUUAUCCCCAUUGCCCAGCAUAGCGCCUGACACAUAGUAGAUGCUCACUAGAUGUUUGUGGAUUGGAUGAAUUGCGGCAGGCAGACCUGGCAGUGCUAGUGGUGAUGGCUGUACGCUAGAUGCCCCCAUGUUCUGUGGCUUUGUGUGGGUAGCUGGUGUGGGCGUGUGUGCUUUGCUUAGCUUCUGACUAGAAAAACGCUAAGGGGACAGGCAGUGGGUGAAAGGGCAGGACAGAUGCAGCAGCUGUUAAGGAGGAAAUUGCGCUGCCUCCAGCCCAAGCAGAAGAGGCUGCCUAGACAGCCAUGAUUUGAACUGCAAGGCCCCAUUUCACCAAAGCUGAAUGGGCCAGAGCGACUGGCUCACAAGGGCUGCCAAUCCAUAGGCUGACAACCUAUGUGUGGUCUGGCUCACACAGAUGAAUGGCCAGGUUCCUUCAUUCGGGAAUUUGAACUGGAAAAUAAUGAACCAGUUUACCAGCUACGUUCCAUGGAAGGUGGGAGUCACAAGCUAAAAAGUUGUGACUUCAGAGGCCAUGCAGGGCUGUGUGCAAACUCAAGAGAAGAAGACACUAAAGGCCCUCUGUGGAAGCUGGCUGGUAGAGAGAGCGGGGUGGAGAGGUUUAAAGAGCACAGCAGAAAAGCUGUGAGAGUAGCAGUGCCCCAGGACUGCCUGGUGCUUGGCAGCCUUCAGUUCUAGUUCUGGGCUGCACUUAUCUUUAUAGUAAACUCUCCUCUUCUUGAAAUAACUCCAGUGGGUCUGUGUCUCCUGUAAUCAACAGAGCUGAUUAUAACAAGUAAUACCUUACAGCUGUCUUACGAGUGGCCCUUUCUGUGCUAGUGUCAACAGUGAUGUGGGAGAACAACUCUGAGAAAGCAUGUAUUAGAUGAAGGCUGCCAGCUGAGUUGUGCGAACGCUUUUCUAGGCAGACACACUUGUUCUGUGGCAUUUAUAUUCUGUGUCACUCUCCCUGGUUCCAUGAUACAACUGAAUUUUAUGGGAGAAAUGGUAUAGGAUAGUGGGUACGAACUCCAAAGAGUUUCAGUCCUGGCUCUGCUGCAUACUAGCUGUGUUACGUGUUGAUGUUGAGUUGAUUCUGACUCAUCGUGGCCCCAUGUGUUACAGGUUAGAACUGCUCUGUAGGGUUUUCCAGGCUGUAGUCUUUACAGGAGCAGAUCUCCAGGUCUUUCUCCCGUGGAGCCUCUUGGUAGGUUCAAAUGGCCAAUCUUUAGGUUAGCAGCUGAUUGCAAACUGUUUAUUAUCACCCAGGCACCUCUACUAGCUGUGAAAACCCUGGGCAAAUUAUUUAAUCUCUUUGUACCUCAGUUUCCUAAUCUGCUAAAUGAAAAUAGACAUUUCCUUUUAGGGUUACGGUGAGAAUUAAAUAAAUUAAUACAAGUGUUUUAGACCAGUACUUGGGACAUGGAACAUAGUAAAUGUUCAGUAAAUGUCAGGUAAAAUUAAUAGACAAAUCAUUUAUUUGACCUAUCUCUGCAGCUAGACUAAAACCCCUGCAUCUGAGGGCUAAUCAUUGUUCAGGGCCAAGUAGAAAUAAUACCUACUCAAUAAAGCCUUGUGGUUAGAUUUAGUGAUGUGAUUUUAAGAAGUGUGGAGAAUGAAACUGAUUAUUCAUGGACAUGGGGUGAUGGGGCCAGAUAAGGUGAGUUCAAGCAGUGACGGAGAGGUUCAAAAACUGCUUUGGGGUGGGGAUGCAGACAUCCUGAAUUGAGUAGGGCUGUCUCACAUUAGGAAGAAUUGUCUCACCCAAAUGCUGAUAGUGCCCCCAUUUAGAUGAUUAUAAUCAUUUGAACUAAUGAUGUAAUGAGACAAAAAGAGCUUUUGGAAAAAGUGCAUGGAAUGAAACACCAGAUUCAGGAAUAGCGAUCACCUUGGUUGGAGGAAGAGUUCACUAAAGGAAUUUACCUUAUGUUGGCAGUGUUUUAUUAUCAGCUGUCAAAAGAUGCAUUGCAUUGGACAAAUUGCCUGCAAGAGAUCUCUUUAAAGUGUUAAAACGUAAAGAUGUCACCUUGAGGACUAAGGUGCGCCUGAUACGUACAAAAGCUGGACAAUGAAUAAGGAAGACCUAAGAAGAAUUGAUGCCUUUGAGUUGUGGUGUUGACGAAGAAUGUUGAAUAUACCAUCGACUGCCAAAAGAACGAACAAAUCUAUUUCAGAAGUACAACCAGAAUGCUCCUUAGAAGCAAGGAUGGCGAGACUAUGUCUCACAUACUUUGGACAUGUUGUUGGGAGAGACCAGUCCCUGGAGAAGGACAUCGUGCCUACUAAAGUAAAGAGAGGGUCAGCGAAAAAGAGGAAUACCCUCAACGAGAUAGACUGACACAGUGGCUGCAACCACGGGCUCAAGCAUAGCAACAGUUGUGGAGAUGGCGCAGGACUGGGCAGCUUUUCUUUCUGUAGUGCAUAUGUAUGUGUAUAUACGCAUACAUACAUACAUACUUUUUUUUUUAAUUUGAAAGAAUUCUGGGAGGACAGAAAGGUUGCAAGUGCCGGAGUGAAUAACUUUUCCUUCUUGAACCAUUUGAAAAAUCUCUUUAGUGCUAGACAAGCCCUGGGAGAACCUAGCACUAUGCCUGGUAGAUUUCAGGUGCUCAACGACAGUUUGUUGAAUUGAACUGGACAGUUUGGAAAGAAGGAAACUCUGUUGAAUAAACCAAACUCCUCCAAUCAGCUCUGGCUGCCAGUAGGCGACACCAAGAUUGGGAGGAGGCCCUGGAAGACUCCAUCUUACCGCACUGAAAACCUGGAAAGGCUCAUAAUAUGCCUGGCUUCCCCAGACAGCCGACUGAGGGCCAGUGGUUCCUCCAGGAAUCCAGAAUGCUUUGUGAAGAGGCAUUUUCAUUUCCUGUCGGUGGUAUCCCUCUUGGAAUACUGAAUUUCAGAAUUUUAAGAGACUCUGAUUGCGUGUGCUCCUUGAGUAAGUGCCACCAGAUGCUCAGGGAACUGAACCUUCUUUCACCAGUCUGAUAAAGACCACGUGACUACCAUCCCGGUCACAGGGGAGGGGCACCAUCUAGGCUGCAGGCCACAUAUUCACUGUCCAGCUGCUCAGGCCUGAGAAUCAAGGCAGCCUGUGCCGGGGCGUCCUGUCUCUCCAAACUCUGGGGGCCCUUCCUCCUUCCUCACUGUCCUAACUUAGACCCUGCAUCCUUCCUCCUCUCUCAUCCAGUCUCCCCAAAAACUCGGGAAGAACUAGGCUACGAGGGCUACUGGACUGUAAUAGGUUUGCCUCGCUUUGACCAGUGUGUAUGUCCAUGAAUGCUGUGUAUUAUCUGCACUUUAUAAACAGAAUUAUUUAAAAAUAAGAGCGGUAAUUGGUGUUGUAGUUGUGAAUUUUUGUUGUGGUUGUUGUUAGUUGAUGUCAAGUGGAUUCCAACUCAUGGCAACCCCAUGCAUGCAGAGUAGAACUGCUCCCUAGGAUUUCCAAAGCUGUGACCGUUUGGAAGCAGAUCACCAGGCGUGUCUUCUGAGGCACCUGUGGGUGGGUUCACACUGCCAGACUUUCAGCUGGUCGUCAACUCGUGUCACCAGGAAUUUCUCCCUGAAUUGUACACGUGAAAAAUGUUGAAUUGGCAAAUGUAUUGUCUAUAUUUUUAUAACAUUAAAAAAAAUAAGGGGGUGCAAAUAAUGAAAGUUUCAAAAAAUUUGUUGUUUUUGUUAGGUUCUGUCAAGUCGGCUCCAACUCAUAGCAACCCUGUGUACAACAGAAUGAAACACUGCCCAGUCCUGCACCAUCUUCACAGUCAUUGUUAUGCUGAAGCCCGUUGUUGCAGCCACUGUGUCAGUCCAUCUCGUUGAGGGUCUUCCUCUUUUUUGCUGACCCUCUACUUUACCAAGCAUGAUGUGCUUCUCCAGGGGCUGAUCCCUCCUGAUAACACUUCCAAAGUAUGUGAGAUGAAGUCUUGCCAUCCUUGCUUCUAAGGAGCAUGCUGGCUAUACUUCUUCCAAGACAGAGUUAUUCGUUCUUCUGGCAGUCCGUGGUAUACAUUCUAUAUUCUUCGCUAACACCGUAAUUCAAAGGCAUCAGUUCUUCGGUCUUCUUUAUUCGUUGUUCAGCUUUUGCAUGCAUUUUUAAAAAAGAGGGUUGAAAUAGUGCCUGUUAUUGGGUUUUUGUUUAUUAUCCUUUUAUCCCAAAAUUUGGGAAAGCUCCUUAUAAAACAGGAGCAUCCAGGACAGUGACCCGCCAUUUAGGUUCAAAGCCCAUCUUUUCCUCUUCUCAUUUAACACUUCUCUCCUUACCUCUCUACAUCUCCUGCCUGCUAGCUACAAUGCUGGGGAUUAAAAUUUGUUUUAGGUUAAGAAUUUUGCGACACCCCCUCCAUGUGGGUUUGCUAAUCUCAGAAUUGGAAUUUUUGCCAGAAGCCAGGCCUUCGGCCCCUACUUUUCUCCCAGCUCUGUCUGGGCUGCUGAGGCUGUUGCUGGUAAGUGCAAGUGAACCCACAGGGGUUUGUUCUGAUUUGAAUUCCCAGCUCCUCAGGCCACCUCCUAGGGCCCUCGGGGCGCCUGAUUCCUGUGGCGCUGCCCCCUGGGGAGGUGGGUGAAAACAGUCACCACUUUGAGGAACGUUAGAAAAGAACAAUCACAGUUUUACAGUCGCCGUGUCAGCAUCUGGUACAAGUAAACCCUUCAUAACUGACCUUUUCUGAGGAGUAAGAAAACAAACAGCCCUCCAAGCAGCUGGCUGGCUUUGGCAGUUCUGGGCUGCAGUCUGGCCUCCCUCAGGGCUGGGUUCCUUUUCUGCCGUUUCUAGUAGCCACAGAAGCCUUGACUCUGCCCUCAGUAAACCUUACACGCCCUAAGCUCUGGUUCAGGAGUGGUGCUAACGCUACCAGAAGUGCUACCUGGGAGUCCCUGAGUGGCACAAAUGGUUAAGCACUUGACUACCAACCAAAAGGUUGGCAGUUCAAACCCACCCAGCGACACCUUGGAAGAUGGGCCUGCCGAUCUGCCUCCUAAAGGUCACGGCUAAAGGUCACGGCCUUGAAAACCCUACGGAGCAGUUCUGUUUUAGGGUCUCCAUGAGUCAAAAUCAACUCCACUCGAAGGCAAUUGGCUUCACUGCUCGCUGUAUGGAGCGCUCGCCGUAUGGAGCGCUCGCCGUGUGGUGUGGCAGGCACUGUGCGGUGCAGUGUCUGCCGUAGCUCAGUCAGCCUUUUCAGCAACCCUGGGAAGAACUGUCCUGUUGUUUUCACUGUCUUAGAAAAAUGGAAAAUAAGGCUUCCAGAGGUGAAGUAAUUUACGCAAGGUCCCCAAGCAGAAAGGGGCAGAGCUGGAAUUCAAACUCUGGGCUGUAUAUCUCCAAAGCCCUUAGCCAUUUGACCCUACAUCUUGAAUAUUUGCAAUUGGAACUCAACUUGUGCCCCUACAUUCCAGAUAAAGAAGCUGAGAGAUUUUUAUUUUUUUCUAACCAUUUACCAACAUCAUCUCCACCAUGUUGCAUUUCGUGAAUUGCCGAUAUACAGGGUGCACAGAGGUCCAGCAGUCUCCACGCACGGGCGUCCUUGGGGCUUCUGUGAGGAAGGUGGCUGACUUCCCGUGAGGUUCUUCUGUUACUUUAGUAAUGCCCACCCCCUCCCCCGCCCCUGACUCUAGUGAGCUUUUGGGUAAAUAACAUUCUAUUCAAGAUCUCAAAUUUAGACUGUAAAUGAGCAGAAUCCAAAUGUUCUGGUGUCCUCCCAUUUAUUCGUUCAACCAAGAAAUAUAUAUUAAACUCCUACCCUGUGGAAAGCACUAGGCUAAAAGAGAACAUUUAAAAUUGGACAAUCAUGAGGGGCUGGACAGCUGUCAAUGGCCCAAACUGAGGAAAGAAAGUACAACAGGAAGAGCCAAUCUCAGCAAAUCCGUAAAUAUUUAGACUCACCAAGUACAGGAUGAGUGCUGGGGCACUUAGGUGGAGGGCUGGACCAGAGGGGUCUUGUGUGUGUGGCCAUGCUAUUCUGUCUCUCUAGGGACCACCCGCUCGCUCUCCGCAGGCCUCUGGCCAGCUUUCCACCCUUCUCAGAAUUCCCACGCCUGGCCCUGCAUCUUUUUGUGGGUGUGUGGGUUCUUUCCAUGACCUGUGUCAAACAAAUCGUUAUUCGCUCAGCAGAUUGGAGAGGAAGAAUAUUUUUAGGUUUUUCCCAAAAACCAGUCGGGAACAAACGCAAAGAAAACUGGAAGCCAGUCAGAUGACAGCAGACAGAUUCAGCUUAAUGAUUUUUUUUUUUUUUUUAAUUGUGGUAUGAUAUACACAGAGCUGGUGAUUGUGAGGUUGAUGCAGGACCAGGCAACGUUUUGUUCUCUAGUACAUAAAAUAAGGUCAUUACGAAUCAGAGCUGACUUGACGGCAGCUAACAAGAUAAAAAAAAAAAAAUUUUUUUUUAACAACAUACGUAAAAUGUACAAAUACUAAAUGAGUAUAUCAAUGAGUUUCUACACAUGUAUAUACCCAUGUAACCACCCUGUCCAAGUUACAGAAUAGUCUUAUCAUCCCAGAAAGAUUUCUUAUGCUUCCCUCCAGUCAAUACCCCUUUCUUCCUCCCAGAAGUAACUAUUCUAUCACCACAGACUGAUUUUGCCUGUUCUUGAACUUCAUAUAAAUGAAAUCACAUAGCAUCAACUUUUCUGUAUGUGGCUUCUUUUGCUCCAUAUAUUGGUGAGGGUCAUCCAUGUCGUUAUGUGUAUCAGAACUUUGUCCUUUUUUAUUGCUAAGUAGUAGUCCAUUGUAUGAACAUACCUCAGUUUUUCCCCAUUUUCCUGUUGAUGGGCAUUUUUGUUUGUAGUUCUGGGCUAACAUGAAUAAAGCUGCUAUGAACAUUUGUGUACAAGUCUUUGUGUGGAUGUCUGCACUUAUUUCUCUUGAGUGUACACCUAGGAGUGGGAUUACUGGGUCGUAAAAAAAAAAAAGAGUUUUUUUUUUUUAAGGUAGACACUAAGCAACAUCAUGAUAAACAGAGAAAAGAUUGAAGCUGUCAGGGAUUAAAUUUUACUUGAAUCCACAAUCAACGCCCCUGGGAGCAGCAGUCAGGAAAUCAAAUGACAUGUUGCAUUGGGCAAAUCUGCUGCAAAAGACCUCUUUAAAGUGUUGAAAAGCAAAGAUGUCACUUUGAGGACUAAGGUGCGCCUGACCUAAGCCAUGAUGUUUUCAAUUGCCUCAUAUGCAUGUGAAAGCUGGACAAUGAACAAGGAAGACUGAAGAAGAAUUGAUGCCUUUGAAUUAUGGUGUUGUGACAAAUAUUGAAUAUACCAUGGACUGCCAGAAGAAGGAACAAAUCUGUCUCGGAAGAAGUACAGCCAGAAUGCUCCUUAAAAGCAAGGAUGGUGAAACUUUGUGUCACGUAAUUUGGACAUGUUAUCAGGAGGGUAACGUAGAGGGUCAGCAAAAAAGAGGAAGACUCUCGGCGAGAUGGAUUGACACAGUGGCUGCAACAAUGGGCUCAAGCAUAACGAUUGUGAAGAUGACGCAGGAGUGCGCGGUAUUUCAUUCUGUUGUACAUGGGGCUGCUAUGAGUCAGAACAAACUGGACAGCAUCUAACAACAACAAGUGGACAUUGGUUCCUUUUUAGGAGGAACCUCUAGCUUGAUAAUUUUAUGUUUACCCUAAGCACAGUAGUAAUCUCUGUCUCCCCAGUGACCAACCUCUGGUCCGGGACCUCUGUCCCAGCUUAGUGGGCUGGCAUCCUGGUUUAGAAAAACCUGUCCUGAUGGAAGAUUUCGAUAUCCUGGACAGCCUGGAGUGAAUUUAUCUCCGUGGGAUGUCUUUUCCAGAGUCACUUGCACAUAGAGGGCUUUAACUCCCUGUUCAAAGCAUCCUUCAUAUCAAUGAGCACUGCAGGAAGACAUGAUGGGGAGGCGGGAGGCCAGGCAAUGAAUGUGCGUAUUAGAGACCCGGCAUACCGGACCAGCUUUGCCUGUAAACCAAAAAGCUGUUGCCAUCGAAUCAAUUCCAGGACAGAGUAGAACUGCCCCGUAGGGCUUCCAAGGCUGGAAUCUCUACAGAAGCAGACUGCCACAUCUUUCUCGCGUGGGGUGGCUGCUGGGUUUGAACUGCUGACCUUUUCGUUUAGCAGGCUUGAACUUAACCACGGCAUC